rnacentral:rRNA from 1 species
GAUUAAGUUAUUAAGGGCGCACGGUGGAUGCCUUGGCACUAGAAGCCGAUGAAGGACGUUACUAACGACGAUAUGCUUUGGGUAGCUGUAAGUAAGCGUUGAUCCAGAGAUUUCCGAAUGGGGGAACCCAGCAUGAGUUAUGUCAUGUUAUCGAUAUGUGAAUUUAUCGA